rnacentral:lncRNA from 1 species
UUUUAUUUCACUUUAUAUCUUUUCGAUCAUUGUUAUGAUGUUUUUUUUACUUUUAUAAUCAAUUUUCAAAGUUGUUGCUUCACUUGAGGUAUAGUUUCUGAUUAGAUUCUAUUUUCUUUUGUCGACAUGUCAGUAUUUUCUUAUAUUUGGACUUUUGUACAAAAUACCUGUUAGUUUAACUAUCUUGCUUAAUUGUGGGUUUCUAUAGGAUUUGUGCCCGCCUAAUAUGUCAGCUUAACUUAUCUAUUGGCUUAAUUCAUAUUUUACAAAGUAAAUUAACUAGGAUGGACAUUGCGAAAUAAUUACAACCAGUGUGUCUCUAUAUUAGUUUCUUUGAUUGUUGUGUUGGUGUUUUCUUACUAUUCCUUUUUAAAAUUAUUUGACUAUAAGUUUUGCAACUUAUAUAUUAUAAUUAAUUUUGUAAGUUGCUGCUUCACUUGAUUUUCGAACUACUGCAAUCGCAUAUUUUUGGGACAGUAGGUUAGUAAUAUUUCUCAAUCAAGUUUUUCUAUUAGUCAUAUUUCAUUCUUUCUUUAAUUUUUUACUGACUAUUGCCUUUUCUUUCAGCCAACUCUUGCACUCUUUCCUGGACUUCUACAAGCACUCUUUCCUCGGCUUAUACAUCUCUCAAUUUUAUUAUAUCUAUGGUCACUCAUGCUGCUGUUGAAUUAACUGCUUAUACUUUUAUUUGUUUGUUACUCAAAAUUUUUUAGUUCUUUUAUGUAUUUACUAUUUUGUCCUUAACUGUAUAUCAUAUUUUAUACUUAAAAUAGUGGCUACUUUUAUUGUUUUGGUGAUAGCUUCCAUGCUGCGAGGUUUCUACUACUUUUUACUUCUAAAUCUUAUAUGAGUUUAUUAUAUUUUAUAUUCUGAAGUUUUUCAAGUAUGCCAGACUUUUUUUUGUUUAAAGUCGCUGAAUUACAACUACUUUUGUUUAAUUAUAGCUUCAAGU